AACGAACGCUGGCGGCAUGCCUAACACAUGCAAGUCGAACGAGACCUUCGGGUCUAGUGGCGCACGGGUGCGUAACGCGUGGGAACCUGCCCUUAGGUUCGGAAUAACUCCCCGUAAGGGGUGCUAAUACCGGAUAAUGUCUUCGGACCAAAGAUUUAUCGCCUUUGGAUGGGCCCGCGUUGGAUUAGCUAGUUGGUAGGGUAAAAGCCUACCAAGGCGACGAUCCAUAGCUGGUCUGAGAGGAUGAUCAGCCACACUGGGACUGAGACACGGCCCAGACUCCUACGGGAGGCAGCAGUGGGGAAUAUUGGACAAUGGGCGAAAGCCUGAUCCAGCAAUGCCGCGUGAGAGAUGAAGGCCUUAGGGUUGUAAAGCUCUUUUACCCGGGAUGAUAAUGACAGUACCGGGAGAAUAAGCUCCGGCUAACUCCGUG
rnacentral:rRNA from 1 species